UUUUCCUUUUGCUAACCCCUAAAGAAGGAUGCAUUACAAAAUAAAACUACAGCGCUAAUGAAUGUGAUGAUGAGUAAAUAAGCAAUUAAUGGAACUUGACAUCUCUGAUCUCUUGGCAUCAAACCUAAAUUUUUGCUGAUCACAAUGAAUAAAUCAUGCGGAGAAACGUCAGAUAAAGAUACAAAAUGGGGGAAGAAAAUGAAACUCCGACAACGAGAAAAGCAAGCAGGCAAAUCGUGAUAGUACAGGCAGAGGAAUCAAGAUUUGCGAGUUUUUGCUCUUGUUGCUUGUUUCUCAGAAUAGAGAGUACUGCAAAAAGGAUUUCAACUUUGUCACAAUGAACGUCCAGACCGGAAUUGCUAUAAUUGAUGUGAGGCUCGGCUUGGCUCCUACCAGUAGAGUUGUCCGAUCAAAGUCUUCUAAGCCUUUAAAGCAGCUUUGUGCACCAUUGUUUCUUUGUGGAUCUGGUGGCAACUCUUUUCGACAAGGUCAAGCAGCUUCUCCAAAUUAGACGCCCAAGAAUUCAAGAUAUCAUUGCUGUCUUUUGGGGGUUGGAAACAGACAAUACCCAUAGGUCUGUCUAUUUUAGCAACCAAAGCUUUUGAUACAACCAUUUCAGAUAGGUGCUUCUCCGCUUCCUGAAUAUCGAGGCACAGUAAAACAGCCAGCCUCUUCAAGGUUAUUCUUGAGUAGUAUUUUGAGACGACAAGGAUGUUGUGCUCAAUAACUCUCAGUUUGAGGUCUUCAGCAGCCUUGUCCCCCAAAGUGCCACCAGGCAUAUUCUUCUCAUUUUCAAACUCAUCCUUGAAUGUGUUCCAUAAAGCAGUCCACUGAAUGACUUCCAUGGUAAUCAAUUGCUUCAGAAGCAGCCUGAAAUGAGAAAUUUCUGAAAGAUUUUUGUCCUCCAAAGUUGAGUUAUGAAGACUUGAUUGCAUAGAAUCAUGGGGAGACAAUACCAAGUACCAGCAAAUUUUCCUCAGAACUGGUAUCCACUGUGCUGGGUCUUCUUUCACGGAAGGGAUCUCAUAUAUAGCCUUGUAACAGCGACAUAUUUCAAGGUAAUCAUUGCUAUGUGAGUAAUACCUAAUCAUUAAUUGAUAGUAGAUCUGCUUCAACUCUGGCAGUGACGGAAUAUCUGCAGCAGGUUCCUCAACCACAUUUUCACCCUCCUUUGCUUUCUUCUUUUCUUUAGAUGGAUCAGCUUCAAACACUCUGGGAUUGAUCUUUCUCGAGAGAAUUUGAGCACGAACAUAAUCUUUAUGAUCUAAGCAUAGACGAACUUGUUCAAGAAUAAAGGCUAUCUUUUCAGUUUUUGCCAUCGCUCCAAAGGUUUCAACAGCAACUUCUUGCAUCAAAUCAGCAGCCUCGCCUAUGAGUUUUUGUUCUUCUUUAAUCUUUGCGAGCUUCUUAAUCAAGCGAGCUCUCUCAAUCUCAACGUAUAUCUUUCCAGCAGACACACUGUUCAGUGUUUUGAUAAGUUCUAUCUUGGUGUCAAGAUCGGGCGUCUGGUCAAUGUAUUGCAUGGCCUGUUGGACCAUGGCCUGUACAGCCUGUUUCAAUUGUCCACGGCGCUUAGACAAUAGAACAAUCUGUUCAUUUAAAGUUUUCCAUGCGCGAGCUUCGAAGCAAAGCUGAAGAAUGUCUAUAGCUGCUUUUCUAGUAGCAGCGACAUCGCCUGCUUGCCUCAUCUGCUUCUCUACAUUCAGAAGCACCUCAAUUUGCGCCUCCAAUUUCCCAUCACCUUCCAUAUUGAUUAUUGAGUUUUUUUCGGAGUUCGAUUGAGAUCGAUUCUCAGAAACCCUAAAAGAGAGAGAGA
rnacentral:misc_RNA from 1 species